CUACGGGGCGCACCAGUCGAGAAUCUUCCGCAAUGCGCGAAAGCGUGACGGAGCAAUGCCGCGUGGUGGAUGAAGGCCUUCGGGUUGUAAACACCUGUCACAUGGGACGAACUUUGACGGUACCAUGAGAGGAAGCCACGGCUAACUACGUGCCAGCAGCCGCGGUAAUACGUAGGUGGCGAGCGUUGUUCGGAUUUAUUGGGCGUAAAGGGUCCGCAGGGGGUUUGUUAAGUCUGAUGUGAAAUCCCGGGGCUCAACCCCGGAACUGCAUGGAGACUGAUGAACUAGAGUAUCGGAGAGGUAAAUGGAAUUCCUGGUGUAGCGGUGGAAUGCGUAGAUAUCAGGAAGAACACCGAGAGCGAAGGCAAUUUACUGGACGAUUACUGACCCUCAGGGACGAAAGCGUGGGUAGCGAACAGGAUUAGAUACCCUAGUAGUC
rnacentral:rRNA from 1 species